rnacentral:rRNA from 1 species
CCUGGCUCAGAUUGAACGCUGGCGGCAUGCCUUACACAUGCAAGUCGAACGGUAACGCGGGGCAACCUGGCGACGAGUGGCGAACGGGUGAGUAAUGCAUCGGAACGUGCCCAGUAGUGGGGGAUAGCCCGGCGAAAGCCGGAUUAAUACCGCAUACGACCUAUGGGUGAAAGCGGGGGAUCGCAAGACCUCGCGCUAUUGGAGCGGCCGAUGUCAGAUUAGCUAGUUGGUGGGGUAAAGGCCUACCAAGGCGACGAUCUGUAGCUGGUCUGAGAGGACGACCAGCCACACUGGGACUGAGACACGGCCCAGACUCCUACGGGAGGCAGCAGUGGGGAAUUUUGGACAAUGGGGGCAACCCUGAUCCAGCCAUGCCGCGUGCGGGAAGAAGGCCUCGGUGUAACG